CUCCUUUCUGUCUGGAUCUCUGCCCUGCACAUUCUACCUCUCUCAGCCUCGUUGAGCUCUGAUCUCAGGCCCAGGUUCAGCAAGAUGGCUGGGCUCCUUGGAGGCUGUGCCUCCCCGUGCUGUGGUUCAGAACCCAGCUUGACUGUACCGUAGUCCAGAACCCGGCUUGAGACCAAAACCUAAAGCAAUCAGAUGACACGCCUUACUUUUUUCCCAUCUCUCGGGAAUCGCACUGGCUCUCAUCCAACAUCAGAACACAUUUGUUCAGAUAUGCGCUGUUGACAGCCGGAAGGCUAUUCCAGGACUAGCUCCUCAACCGUGACUGGAAGCAGAGUUCAGCACCACGAGCAACAUCAUGAGAAGUAAUCUCAGAUGCUGAAGAUCUUAUGUGAAGUCCUGGAUGGGCUACUUGGAAGCUGAGACCUUCAGGAAAAAAUCACUCAACUCUUCAAGUUGGAGUUUCCUGCUCUAUGCAAUGGAAAAAAAAAAGAGAGAGAGAGAGAGAGAGAGAAAAAGAACCCUUUCUCAAAAGAAAUGCAGAUUGAUGCAACAACACAGAUCAACUGAAUCACGAAAUAGUGUUGACGACUGACAGCAGCUUCCUGGGUUACCUCUUCAAGAGAUGUCUGCAUGCGGAUUCUCAAAGCAGAAGCCAGUGAUCCCAUAGGCAUGAAGCUCUCAUGCAACCAGGCAGAGGCAUGAGGGAGCACCGGGGCCGAGGUCCCAUCCC
rnacentral:lncRNA from 1 species